rnacentral:rRNA from 1 species
AUUGACCGCUGGCGGCAGGCCUAACACAUGCAAGUCGAGCGAGCGGCGGACGGGUGAGUAAUGUCUGGGAAACUGCCUGAUGGAGGGGGAUAACUACUGGAAACGGUAGCUAAUACCGCAUACCAUCAGAUGUGCCCAGGUGGGAUUAGCUCGUAGGUGGGGUAACUGCUCACCUAGGCGACGAUCCAGAGCUGGUCUGAGAGGAUGACCAGCCACACUGGAACUGAGACACGGUCCAGACUCCUACGGGAGGCCGCAGUGGGGAAUAUUGCACAAUGGGCGCAAGCCUGAUGCAGCCAUGCCGCGUGUGUGAAGAAGGCCUUCGGGUUGUAAAGCACUUUCAGCGGGGAGGCGUUACCCGCAGAAGAAGCACCGGCUAACUCCGUGCCAGCAGCCGCGGUAAUUC